AUUGAACGCUGGCGGCAUGCCUUACACAUGCAAGUCGAACGGCAGCACGGGAGCAAUCCUGGUGGCGAGUGGCGAACGGGUGAGUAAAGUAUCGGAACGUGCCCAGUCGUGGGGGAUAACGUAGCGAAAGUUACGCUAAUACCGCAUACGAUCUAUGGAUGAAAGCGGGGGAUCGCAAGACCUCGCGCGAUUGGAGCGGCCGAUAUCAGAUUAGGUAGUUGGUGGGGCAAAGGCUCACCAAGCCGACUAUCUGUAGCUGGUCUGAGAGGACGACCCGCCACACUGUGACUGAGACACGGCCCAGACUCCUACAGGAGGCAGCAGUGGUGAAUUUUGGACAAUGGGCGCAAGCCUGAUCCGGCCAUGCCGCGUGCAGGAUGAAGGCCUUCGGGUUGUAAACUGCUUUUGUACGGAACGAAAAGGUUUGGCCUAAUAAGCUGAGCUCAUGACGGUACCGUAAGAAUAAGCACCGGCUAACUACGUGCCAGCAGCCGCAGUAAUAC
rnacentral:rRNA from 1 species